AGCAGCCGCGGUAAUUCCAGCUCCAAUAGCGUAUAUUAAAGUUGUUGCAGUUAAAAAGCUCGUAGUUGAACCUUAGGCCCGUGCGGGUGGUCCGUCCUCAGGGCGAGUACUGCCUCGUUGCGGGUCUCACCUUCUGGCGAGCGUGGAUGCCAUUCGUUUGGUGUCUGCGGGAACCAGGACCUUUACCUUGAAAAAUUAGAGUGCUCAAAGCGGGCUCUUGCGCUUGAAUACAUUAGCAUGGAAUAAUGAAAUAGGACGAUGGUUCUAUUUUGUUGGUUUCUGGGACCGUCGUAAUGAUUAAUAGGGAUAGUUGGGGGCAUUCGUAUUCAAUUGUCAGAGGUGAAAUUCUUGGAUUUAUUGAAGACGGACUACUGCGAAAGCAUUUGCCAAGGAUGUUUUCAUUAAUCAAGGACG
rnacentral:rRNA from 1 species